UGGCUCAGAACGAACGCUGGCCCGGCAUGCCUUACACAUGCAAGUCGAACGGCAGCACGGGUGCUUGCACCUGGUAGCGAGUGGCGAACGGGUGAGUAAUACAUCGGAACAUGUCCUGUAGUGGGGGAUAGCCCGGCGAAAGCCGGAUUAAUACCGCAUACGAUCCACGGAUGAAAGCGGGGGACCUUCGGGCCUCGCGCUAUAGGGUUGGCCGAUGGCUGAUUUGCUAGUUGGUGGGGUAAAGGCCCACCAAGGCGACGAUCAGUAGCUGGUCUGAGAGGACGACCAGCCACACUGGGACUGAGACACGGCCCAGACUCCUACGGGAGGCAGCAGUGGG
rnacentral:rRNA from 1 species